rnacentral:rRNA from 1 species
CACGAAAGCGUGGGGAGCAAACAGGAUUAGAUACCCUGGUAGUCCACGCCGUAAACGAUGAGUACUAAGUGUUGGGUUAAACCAGUGCUGAAGUUAACACAUUAAGUACUCCGCCUGAGUAGUACGUACGCAAGUAUGAAACUUAAAGGAAUUGACGGGACUCCGCACAAGCGGUGGAUCAUGUUGUUUAAUUCGAAGAUACACGAAAAACCUUACCAGGUCUUGACAUACUCUGCAAAGCUAUAGAAAUAUAGUGGAGGUUAUCAGGGAUACAGGUGGUGCAUGGUUGUCGUCAGCUCGUGUCGUGAGAUGUUGGGUUAAGUCCCGCAACGAGCGCAACCCUUAUCACUAGUUACCAUCAUUUAGUUGGGCACUUUAGUGAGACUGCCAAUGAUAAAUUGGAGGAAGGUGGGGAUUACGUCAAAUCAUCAUGCCCCUUAUGACCUGGGCUACAAACGUGAUACAAUGGCUGUUACAAG